rfam:Helianthus annuus linkage group 3, whole genome shotgun sequence.
AUACCUUUCUCGGCCUUUUGGCUAAGAUCAAGUGUAGUAUCUGUUCUUAUCAGUUUAAUAUCUGAUAUAUGAGUCAUUGGCUCAUUCGAUAUUAAUCUUAUUUUUUAUGGGGAAAGGCUCAUCACAAUAUAGCUUGCUAUUGGGGGGGUUUUUGAGCGUUGCCUUGGUUUGUCACUACUGCCUUGUAAAUAAAAGUUUA